UUCUUGGUCAUUUUAGAGGAAGUAAAAGUCGUAACAAGGUUUCCGUAGGUGAACCUGCGGAAGGAUCAUUAAUGAAUAUAAUUCGGAGGGGCUGUAGCUGGCCUUGGAAACGAGGCAUGUGCACGCUCUUCCGUUUUUCACAAACUCACCUGUGCACCUAAUGUAGGAUGCUCCUCUUUCGGGAGGGGGGGACCUAUGUCUUCAUAUACCACUUCGUGUAGAAAGUCUUAGAAUGUUUUACUAUCGGAGAGUCGCGACUUCUAGGAGACGCGAAUCUACGAGAUAAAAGUUAAUUACAACUUUCAGCAAUGGAUCUCUUGGCUCUCGCAUCGAUGAAGAACGCAGCGAAAAGCGAUAUGUAAUGUGAAUUGCAGAUCUACAGUGAAUCAUCGAAUCUUUGAACGCACCUUGCGCUCCUCGGUGUUCCGAGGAGCAUGCCUGUUUGAGUGUCAGUAAAUUCUCAACCCCUCUCGAUUUGUUUCGAGGGGGAGCUUGGAUGGUGGGGGCUGCCGGAGACUAGGACUCGUCCUGGACUCGGGCUCUCCUUAAAUGCAUCGGCUUGCGGUCGACUUUCGACUUUGCGCGACAAGGCUUUCGGCGUGAUAAUGAUCGCCGUUCGCUGAAGCGCAUGAAUGAAGGUCCCGCGCCUCUAAUACGUCGACUGUUACUAUCUCUUCGGAGAGAAAACGUCUUCCUCAAUUGACUUUUGACCUCAAAUCAGGUAGGACUACCCGCUGAACUUAAGCAUAUCAAUAAGCCGGGAGGAA
rnacentral:sRNA from 1 species